rnacentral:ncRNA from 1 species
AUUAAAUCAUAGAAGCAAAGAGUAACAAGGGUACUGACUAAAGCGAGUAGACGAUUGGUGGAAGGUCUAUGUCAGGAGAAUUGUGAACCGCAUUGCUGAGAUAAUUGAGUGAAGUAAGUUAAUCAGAUAUAAAAGUAGCUCAAUUCGUUAGGCGCGUUAAGUCAUCAAGCGUUGAUGUAUUUUUGUCAGCAGUAGAGUGGUACCGUGGAUAUUAACCGCCUCUUCA